CAGAGGAUUUGCAGUCUCUCUCUCUAUUUAUAUAUAAUGUCUCUUCACAUCUUAGCUACAAAUUCCUUUUCCUUUCAUCUAGAUUAAGGAAGUGGAAUAACCAAGAACAAGAGAUUUAAAAAAAGAAAAAGAAAAAAAAUAAAAAAAAGCAAGAGAGAGAGAAUAGAUAGAGGAUGAUGAUGAGCACAUCCUCUGUUUCCAUUCCCAGUUUUCUCCCAUUCCCUUCCUCCCAUUGAAGCAUUUUUCACAUGCCUAUCAUUCUUCCACCGUCAUCAACGCAUGAUUUUCUAGUUCGGGUUUUGAUUGAUGCUCGGAAGAUCCGAUGCUCCUAGAUCGAAUUUGACAAAACCCACUUCGUCUCUGAUCGAAGCAACAACUGGGUUCUGUCUGAAUUUUGAGAUAAGAUGGAAUCGGAUCUUGGCAAGCUCUUCAUUGGGGGAAUAUCUUGGGACACUGAUGAGGAACGGCUUAAGGAAUAUUUUGGGAAAUAUGGGGAGGUGAUAGAGGCUGUGAUCAUGAGGGAUCGCGUAACAGGUCGUGCUCGUGGCUUUGGUUUUGUUGUCUUUGCUGAUCCUUCUGUUGCAGAAAGAGUAAUCAUGGAUAAGCACAUAAUUGAUGGGCGAACAGUUGAAGCAAAGAAAGCUGUUCCUAGGGAUGAUCAGCUCAAUAUAAGUAGGCAGUCUGGCAGUGCCCACGCAUCUCCUGGUCCUGGACGCACCAAAAAAAUCUUUGUUGGAGGUUUACCAUCAACAAUCACCGAAAGUGAUUUUAAGAAGUAUUUUGAUCAGUUUGGUACAAUUACAGAUGUUGUAGUUAUGUAUGAUCAUAAUACCCAGAGGCCAAGAGGUUUUGGCUUCAUUACCUAUGAUUCUGAAGAAGCUGUGGAUAGAGUUCUUUAUAAAACUUUUCAUGAACUCAAUGGUAAGAUGGUUGAAGUCAAGAGGGCAGUUCCCAAAGAGCUUUCCCCCGGUCCCAGCCGAAGCCCAUUGAUAGGAUUUAACUAUGGUUUGAAUAGGGCCAGUAACUACCUAAACAGUUAUGCUCAGGGUUAUAGUAUGAGUCCAAUAGGAGGAUAUGGAGUGAGGAUGGAUGGUAGGUUCAGUCCUCUUACUGGUGGUAGAAGUGGAUUUACUCCCUUUGGCAACACUGGUUAUGGAAUGGGAGUGAAUUUGGAUUCAGGAUUGAGCCCAACCUUUGGAGGGACUUCCAAUUAUGGGAGCAAUCUAGGAUAUGGUCGACUAUUGAAUCCUUUCUACAGUGGCAACUCUGGCAGAUACACCACUCCUAUAGGCUAUAGUGGGGUUAAUGGGAGAAGCGAUACUGUUAUGAACUCACCAUCUCGUAAUUUAUGGGGAAAUGGGGGCCUCAAUAAUGCCAAUAAUCCUGUCAGCCCCAGCCCUUUCCUAGGAUCUGGAAGUGGAGCUUUUGGUGUUUCCAUUGGAAAUAGUGGCACAGGCUGGGGUCCAUCCAUUCCAGCCCAGGGUGGAGGUGCUGCUUCUGGUUAUGGUACUGGGAAUAAUGUUUAUGAAGGUGGAGAUAGCAGCUUUGGUUUAGGUGGAGCAGGGUACGGAAGAAACAGCAGUUCAGGUGUGACUCCAGCCUCUACAUUUAAUGUGUCAACUGGUGGUUAUGAAGGAUCAUACGGGGACUUGUACCGUACUGGCAGUGGUUCGGUUUACAAUGACUCUGCUUGGCGUUCUGCUGUGUCUGAGAUUGAUGGUUCUGGUUCAUUUAGUUAUGUUCUUGGUGGUAUAGCUUCAGAUGACCCAGUAAAGAAUUCUGAGGGUUAUAUUGGAAACUACAAUGUUACCAGUAGACAACCGAAUAGAGAUUCAUGAGCGUUCUCACAAGUGUUUACUGCAAUCCAAGUAGAAUUAUUCCUUGCAACUUCCUGUACUUAUGUGAAUCGCUGCCUAGGAGAUAUGAUAGUUGGAUUUGUCAUGGUAGCAGUAGAUGAAGGAAAACUGGUUAAAGUUAAUGAGGUAUUGUGAAUUAAUACAUCUCCGUCACCUAAGAGAUACAGCUCAUAAGGAAACGUCAUAUAUAGCUAACGGUGUUCUUUCUUCUUUCAUUUGAAGUAUACAUAUUCAAAGACAAAGCAGUUUACAAGUGAUUUUGUGUAAGGCUUGUUUUUUAUUUUUUUUUUCUUUUCCAUCCUUGUUUUGGUCCUCUUUUUCAUCUUUCAAGACUUAGGUUCCUUUCUUGGAAUUGGAUUGAGGUGUAAAAUGAGAUUUGCGGGAUAUACUCAGGAAAGAUUUGUUCCAUGAUAGUGUAAUAGUACAUCUCCAGAGAGGCACGUUGUGGUUAGUCGGUUUAAUGAUAGAGUAUUAAUUUUUGAAUUUCUUCUUUCUUUUGCCACUGUAAUGCCUGGCAUGCAAAGAUGUUGGUUCAAUGGUUCUUGUCACCAUCUUUUUUUUUUUUAUGGUAUAUGUAACUCUGAUCAAAUUGUAAGUGAGGUUUGAUUUAUCAAGUGUGAAACAUGAGUGGGAUGCCUAUGUAGGAUCCCCAUCAAAUAAUCAAGUUUCUGAACAGUUUCAUUA